GAUGAACGCUGGCGGCGUGCCUAAUACAUGCAAGUCGAGCGAACAGACGAGGAGCUUGCUCCUCUGACGUUAGCGGCGGACGGGUGAGUAACACGUGGAUAACCUACCUAUAAGACUGGGAUAACUUCGGGAAACCGGAGCUAAUACCGGAUAAUAUAUUGAACCGCAUGGUUCAAUAGUGAAAGACGGUUUUGCUGUCACUUAUAGAUGGAUCCGCGCCGCAUUAGCUAGUUGGUAAGGUAACGGCUUACCAAGGCGACGAUGCGUAGCCGACCUGAGAGGGUGAUCGGCCACACUGGAACUGAGAAACGGUCCCGACUCCUACGGGAGGCAGCAGUAGGGAAUCUUCCGCAAAGGGCGAAAGCCUGACGGAGCAACGCCGCGUGAGUGAUGAAGGUCUUCGGAUCGUAAAACUCUGUUAUUAGGGAAGAACAAAUGUGUAAGUAACUAUGCACGUCUUGACGGUACCUAAUCAGAAAGCCACGGCUAACUACGUG
rnacentral:rRNA from 1 species